CUGUAAGAUUUUGAAAUCAUUUGAAAAAAAAUAUUCUAAAUUUAAUUUUUAUCCGUAAAACAAACACGUUUGGGGCAGCUUAACACUCAUUCUUGAUCAUCGUCCCCUUCGUUCUAGGGUUUGGGGAAGCUUCCAUAGCCUCAUUUGUUCUAUAUAAUUUACGCUGAACCCAUGAAUACUUCCGCGCGCAGGAGCAUGGACGUUAGAAGUGCUUUGAGGGUGCGAAAAGACUAUGCUUUUUUUCUUUCCCUUCAUCAUUUGAGCAGGGGGACGGCAAUGCAGAGGCUACCCGCUAUGAAAAGUUGGUGUCGGGGUGGAUUUGAAUAGGAUGAUUUCGACGAUGAACCUAUUAAAAGCGAUGGCUUCGUGGAUGGCGAUGAUUUCUUGGAGGAAGAAGAUAUUCGUGAUGAAGAUAAAGGAAGUUCCUUUUCUGUAGAAGACGCAGAAAGAUGGGCGAAGGUGUUACUUUCUCUUCGGAUAUACAAAAAGGUUUGAACGUGUAAUUAUUGGCUGACUCUGUCGAGGGAGAGCCUUGGCUAGUGCCAUGUGGCCCCUUAAUCGAGUCUUAUUUGGGGGUCCGUGACACUUAGCACGACUGCAGGAAUGAGAUGAGCCAAGAGAAAACGAGUGGAGAAGCAAUACAGGAAUAUUUUUGAAGGCCAAAUUUCUAUGUACUGCAGAUUCCAUAGCUCAGGCUAACAGACAAAAGAAGUUCCUCCAGAAGCCUCAGUCUCCCCUCCAAAGAAAGAGGACACUAUGAACCUUUCCAUCAAUGCAUACCUCAACAGUUGUGUCAUGUACACCAAUUCCUUGAGUUCAUGGGGGUCACUGUUUGUUGCCAAUUGCUAUGUCACAGUUGAUUUUAAUGAAAAGAAUAGCUGAUGGAGUGAAAACUCAGCAGCAAACUCAACAGGAAUGGUGGUCAGUUUCCCAUCAUAGGAUCAGCUUUAGUCUAUGGUGUAGCUUUAAUGGGCGAAUGUCCUGGCGUACCAUUAGGUAGAAACUGCUGAUUCGGUUCAGUAAGGUAUGCUGAUUGUAUAUGAAAAUAUUAAUGAUAGAUUUGUGAAUUGUGGCCCUCAGUUACAAAGAUCAUGGACUGUUCUCAUU